rnacentral:rRNA from 1 species
GACGAACGCUGGCGGCGUGCUUAACACAUGCAAGUCGAACGGAAAGGCCCUGCUUUUGUGGGGUGCUCGAGUGGCGAACGGGUGAGUAACACGUGAGUAACCUGCCCUUGACUUUGGGAUAACUUCAGGAAACUGGGGCUAAUACCGGAUAGGAGCUCCUGCUGCAUGGUGGGGGUUGGAAAGUUUCGGCGGUUGGGGAUGGACUCGCGGCUUAUCAGCUUGUUGGUGGGGUAGUGGCUUACCAAGGCUUUGACGGGUAGCCGGCCUGAGAGGGUGACCGGCCACAUUGGGACUGAGAUACGGCCCAGACUCCUACGGGAGGCAGCAGUGGGGAAUAUUGCACAAUGGGCGGAAGCCUGAUGCAGCAACGCCGCGUGCGGGAUGACGGCCUUCGGGUUGUAAACCGCUUUCGCCUGUGACGAAGCGUGAGUGACGGUAAUGGGUAAAGAAGCACCGGCUAACUACGUGCCAGCAGCCGCGGUGACACGUAGGGUGCGAGCGUUGUCCGGAUUUAUUGGGCGUAAAGGGCUCGUAGGUGGUUGAUCGCGUCGGAAGUGUAAUCUUGGGGCUUAACCCUGAGCGUGCUUUCGAUACGGGUUGACUUGAGGAAGGUAGGGGAGAAUGGAAUUCCUGGUGGAGCGGUGGAAUGCGCAGAUAUCAGGAGGAACACCAGUGGCGAAGGCGGUUCUCUGGGCCUUUCCUGACGCUGAGGAGCGAAAGCGUGGGGAGCGAACAGGCUUAGAUACCCUGGUAGUCCACGCUGUAAACGGUGGGUACUAGGUGUGGGGUCCAUUCCACGGGUUCCGUGCCGUAGCUAACGCUUUAAGUACCCCGCCUGGGGAGUACGGCCGCAAGGCUAAAACUCAAAGGAAUUGACGGGGCCCCGCACAAGCGGCGGAGCAUGCGGAUUAAUUCGAUGCAACGCGUAGAACCUUACCCGGGUUUGACAUGGAUCGGGAGUGCUCAGAGAUGGGUGUGCCUCCUUUGGGGUCGGUUCACAGGUGGUGCAUGCCUGUCGUCAGCUCGUGUCGUGAGAUGUUGGGUUAAGUCCCGCAACGAGCGCAACCCUUGUUCACUGUUGCCAGCACGUUAUGGUGGGGACUCAGUGGAGACCGCCGGGGUCAACUCGGAGGAAGGUGGGGAUGACGUCAAGUCAUCAUGCCCCUUAUGUCCAGGGCUUCACGCAUGCUACAAUGGCUGGUACAGAGAGUGGCGAGCCUGUGAGGGUGAGCGAAUCUCGGAAAGCCGGUCUCAGUUCGGAUUGGGGUCUGCAACUCGACCUCAUGAAGUCGGAGUCGCUAGUAAUCGCAGAUCAGCAACGCUGCGGUGAAUACGUUCCCGGG